rnacentral:rRNA from 1 species
ACAGAGGCGGCAAGCGUUGUUCGGAAUUAUUGGGCGUAAAGAGCACGUAGGCGGCCUUGCAAGUCAGUUGUGAAAGCCUUCCGCUUAACGGAAGAACGGCAUCUGAUACUACAGGGCUUGAGUACGGGAGGGGAGAGUGGAACUUCUGGUGGAGCGGUGAAAUGCGUAGAUAUCAGAAGGAACGCCGGCGGCGAAAGCGACUCUCUGGUCCGAAACUGACGCUGAGUGUGCGAAAGCUAGGGGAGCAAACGG